CGACCGGCGCACGGGUGAGUAACGCGUAUGCAACCUGCCCGAUACCGGGGUAUAGCCCAUGGAAACGUGGAUUAACACCCCAUAGUACUUUUAUCCUGCAUGGGAUGUGAGUUAAAUGUCCAAGGUAUCGGAUGGGCAUGCGUCCUAUUAGUUAGUUGGCGGGGUAACAGCCCACCAAGACGAUGAUAGGUAGGGGUUCUGAGAGGAAGGUCCCCCACAUUGGAACUGAGACACGGUCCAA
rnacentral:rRNA from 1 species